ensembl:lncRNA
AUGACAGAAGGCAUGUAGUAGAUUGUGUACAAUGGGUUUUACAGCAAAGUUUUAAACAUGCUGAUAAUAUUUUAGAAGCCUUAGAAAUGUGUGUACCAAAUAUGAUACAAAGGUUUUAUUGCAUAUUUGAAUAUUAAAAAAUAAAUAUGUUUUGUUAUAUUUAAAUGUACAUAUACUAACCUGAUCAUCAAUAUAUAAUGUUUGUUUGAUACAUUUGCGAGUUAAGUUGUGUGAGUUAUGACCUAUCUCAAGUAGAACUUUACUGUCACAUCACUCAAAUUCUCUAGGGCCGGAUACGUUUUCAUUUUACCUUAUACUUAUCUUAGAACAGGUGUGUGUAUGGGUCGAGCAGCUGUUUGCACAUUAUUUUGUGGGUGUGAUAAAGACUAUGAUUUGCGACAGUGGAGACUAGCCUCAGGAGAUUUAAAAUGUGUGAAGAAAUUGCAUUAGAAAGCGAGAAAUAUUGAAAUCUGUUUCCACUAUUCAGUCUUGGGAGACGUUUACAUGGGUAAUUACAACCAUACAGCAUGUCUUUGUGUCUCUGUGAGAGACAGAUUAUCAUUACUAGCUUUUUAACAAACUCUAUGUGAAAAGAAUGACAAAACAACUGAUCCGUUCAUUUGCAAAUGCUCAUAUUGCGCUUGUACAUUCUGUCCUAGGAUUUGAUUCGAUAGUGUCAGAGUUUAUGAGGAAACAUUUGCCAUCUCAGCAGUGGUUUGCACACAAGUUUGAAAUAUGGGUGAUCUCCAUCGCUGUUUCCUGCCCAGCUGCUCCAGAUCUUCCCCUCCUUCAAAGAACCUACACAUCUGCAGCAUUAAGGAGAAAGACUCCAGCUCUACAAACAGGCUCAGAAAAAUAGUUACUGAGCAGCUGCGGCAGGAGACGUCUGUUCUGGUUAUGGAGUUAUGGAGGCUAAUAUAUCACUGCCGACGAUGCAAACGGACAGAGUUAUAGAUCCAUGCACACACAUUCAAUAAUGAAAGGAAGUACCAAAAGGAGGAUAAUGCAGGUAUUCAGACACUUGAUUUAAAAAUCAUUCAUGUCUCAAAAAAGUAAAGUUUGUUUGGAGAAAGGUUUGUGCUGCAUUAUUUGCAGAUUUGUUGUGCAAAAUUCACAUUUUAAGAAGUGGCGCACCUUCAGUUUUUAGCCAUAUGUAUCCAUCUACAGUAUCUAUCAAUCUAUCUGUCCAUCUAUCUAUCUAUCUAUCUAUCUAUCAUUGAUCUAUCUAUCAUCCAUCUAUUAUCUAUCCACUGAUCCAUCCAACUAUCCAUCCAUCCACCUAUCUUUCCAAUCACUUUCCUUCCAUAUCUAUAUAUUUAUCAAUCUACAGUAUCUGUCCAUUUAUCUAUCAUUUAUAUAUCUUUCCAUCUGUCCCUCCAUGAUCUAUCCACUGAUUCAUCAUUCCAUCCAUCCAUCCAUCCAUCCAUCCUUCUAUCCUUCUGUAAGCAUCUAUCUAUCUAUCUAUCUAUCUAUCUAUCAUAGUAUCAUACUAUCUAUCAUUCUGUCUAUAGAUCCAUCUAGCCUUCCAUCUAUCCGUCCAUCCUAAAAAUAACAGUUUAUUAUUAAUUUAUUAUUAAUUUCAAUUCAUUUACUUUCAUUCAAAUUUGAAUAAAAAGUUCGCAUUCAGUUUGCA